GCAUAUCAAUAAGCGGAGGAAAAGAAACCAACAGGGAUUGCCCCAGUAACGGCGAGUGAAGCGGCAACAGCUCAAAUUUGAAAUCUGGCCCCCCGGCCCGAGUUGUAAUUUGGAGAGGAUGCUUUUGGCGCGGCGCCGUCCGAGUUCCUUGGAACAGGACGCCACAGAGGGUGAGAGCCCCGUACGGACGGACGCCUAGCCUAUACAAAGCUCCUUCGACGAGUCGAGUAGUUUGGGAAUGCUGCUCAAAAUGGGAGGUAAAUUUCUUCUAAAGCUAAAUACCGGCCAGAGACCGAUAGCGCACAAGUAGAGUGAUCGAAAGAUGAAAAGCACUUUGAAAAGAGGGUUAAAAAGUACGUGAAAUUGUUGAAAGGGAAGCGCCUGUGACCAGACUUGCGCCCCGUGGACCAUCCGGCGUUCUCGCCGGUGCACUCUGCGGGGCGCAGGCCAGCAUCGGUUCUCCUAGGGGGAUAAAGGCCGCGGGAACGUAACUCCUUCGGGAGUGUUAUAGCCCGUGGUGGCAUGCCCCUGGGGGGACCGAGGACCGCGCUUCGGCAAGGAUGCUGGCGUAAUGGUCACCAGCGACCCGUCUUGAAACACGGACCAAGGAGUCAAGCAUUGGGGCGAGUGUAUGGGUGCCAAACCCGCACGCGAAAUGAAAGUAAACGCAGGUGAGAGCUUCGGCGCAUCAUCGACCGAUCCUGAUGUCUUCGGAUGGAUUUGAGUAAGAGCCUUACCGCUUGGACCCGAAAGAUGGUGAACUAUGCCUGAAUAGGGUGAAGCCAGAGGAAACUCUGGUGGAGGCUCGCAGCGGUUCUGACGUGCAAAUCGAUCGUCAAAUUUGGGCAUGGGGGCGAAAGACUAAUCGAACCAUCUAGUAGCUGGUUACCGCCGACGUUCACC
rnacentral:rRNA from 1 species